GGGUAUAUAGCUCAGUGGUAGAGUGUGUGCUCAUGCAUGAGGUCCUGGGUUCAAUCCCCAGUACCUCCA
rnacentral:tRNA from 1 species